rnacentral:rRNA from 1 species
AGGACGAACGCUGGCGGCGUGCUUAACACAUGCAAGUCGAGCGGAAAGGCCCUUCGGGGUACUCGAGCGGCGAACGGGUGAGUAACACGUGAGCAACCUGCCCUUAGCUCCGGGAUAGCUCCGGGAAACCGGAAUUAAUACCGGAUACGACCACGGCCGACAUCUGCUGUGGUGGAAAGGAUUCCGGCUAAGGAUGGGCUCGCGGCCUAUCAGCUAGUUGGUGGAGUAACGGCCCACCAAGGCGACGACGGGUAGCCGGCCUGAGAGGGCGACCGGCCACACUGGGACUGAGACACGGCCCAGACUCCUACGGGAGGCAGCAGUGGGGAAUAUUGCGCAAUGGAGGAAACUCUGACGCAGCGACGCCGCGUGGGUGAUGAAGGCCUUCGGGUCGUAAAGCCCUGUCGGAGGGGAAGAAAGCGGUUGGCUAAUAUCCAAGCCGCUCUUGACGGUACCCUCAAAGGAAGCACCGGCUAACUCCGCGCCAGCAGCCGC